CGGAAGAAGCCGAGGCUUUGAGCUACAUGAACGACUCGUUAGGAGCAGGCAGUGGUUUUAAGAAGAAGAGCAGCAAGAACAACAAGAAGAGGUUCAGUGAUGAGCAGAUUCGAUCGUUGGAGUCGAUUUUUGAGUCCGAGUCCAGGUUGGAGCCUAGGAAGAAGCUGCAGCUGGCGAAAGAGCUGGGGUUGCAACCGAGGCAGGUUGCGAUAUGGUUUCAGAAUAAGAGAGCUCGAUGGAAGUCGAAGCAGCUUGAAAGAGACUAUAGCAUACUCAGAGCCAAUUAUAAUAACUUGGCAUCCAAGUUUGAAACCUUGAAGAAGGAAAAGCAGGCCUUGGUUACUCAGGUAAUUAAUAUACUCAGUCACUCUUUCAAAGGUGACUCUUGCUAACACUCUCGUUAGAGUGUGAAUAACAACGCCAUAUAUAGUUUAAGGUUAAUACAAAUGAAUUGGAACCAAAAUCUGAUGUGGAUGUGUUGUUUUGUGACAGUUGCAGAAGCUGAAUGAUAUGAAGCAAAGGCCAAAAGAGGAAAGGAAUAAUAUUAUCGAUGGCGAAUCGGACAAUGGUGAUGAUGCUGCUAGGUCCGAAUCUGAGGGGAAGCCUAAUUACCAGAUGUCAUUGGAAAAAUCAGAACAGGGACUUGGAGUUAUGUCAGAUGAUGAUAGCAGCAUAAAGGCAGAGUACUUUGGACUUGAGGAGGAUCCGAACCUUGUGAACUUUGUGGAAUCUGCAGAUGGGUCCUUAACAUCUCCUGAAGAUUGGGGCAGAUUGAACUCCGAUGGUGGUCUCUUUGACCAAUCGACUAGCGAUUAUCAGUGGUGGAAUUUUUGGUCUUGAAAGAUGAAUAAGGGUAAAAAUAAGAGCAAUAUUCUUGAUGACGACAACUAUUGCAAGUUUGCAACGAGUGAUUCCUGAUCUGUCACCGGCUGUAUACAACUAUUGUGUGUGUCUGUCUCUCUUGCUAGGUGAGAAAGUUACAUAUAGCUGUAUACAAACGGUGACAAUGCCACACCAUCAUAUGUCCUAUAGAGGCUGCUAUGAGAUCAUGCCAACUAGCUAGUACAAUGGGAGGUAGAGGAGUAUAAGCUUUCAAAGAGCUGUCAACCCUUUGGCAAGGAGAAUUUUUGUAUAUAAACUGCUGUAGAAACACUCUUCGGAUCACAUGCAUGUUAGACUACAUGUGAUUGGAUUGAACGUGAAAAUGGGGCUGUAAACAACGGGUCUAUGUACAAGCUGUGAUAGCUAAAUUAAAAGCUAUUUAUUUUCCCUAUUCUCCUAUAAAUUUGUCGAUUGUAAUAUAGAGAAAUAAGAGUCUACCGCAGAGGAUUAAAUUAAAUUAAAAGCUUCAACAAAUGUCACAAAACGUGACUGUAGCUCCUAUUGAACAGCAGUCGAAAAAUAAAAGUAAAACCUAACCUAGAAUGCUCAGAAAAACACGAAAAUUUACAGAGGUGUACUAGACACACAAAGCGUCUAGCACACACAAUUUGAGAUGAUUUGGAGUUGACUUGAUAGGGAAAUAAAAUACGAGAAGAUGACGAACAGAAGAUAAAAAACUGAAAACUGAUUUCAAAUUAGUUGAGAAUCAAGAUGAUAAGACUAGCUAGGGAGUAGUAUCCACCCCCGACAAUCACACAUAACACACUUUGUCCAAUUUGUGACCAACUAACUCAAUUGAAGAUGCUUAAUUAGAUUGACUUUGUCCAAUUUGUGACCAACUAACUCAAUUGAAGAUGCUUAAUUAGAUUGACUCAGUACGCUUGAGCCCAAUCUAUUACUCUUUCUUACUGUGUAUACGUUAGGCAGGAAGUGCUCUACACCUAAACUAUUCUCAAACAUUGUAACCUAAAGGUAUGUUUAUUAGGUUAAACAAGCAGAGAUCAAUAAGCAUGAAAAGAGUUUGAGCAAUCACUAGGCAUCGCAGUAAACUUAGCGCCUUGCUAAACCUAGCUAGGGUUUCGUCUACUCGCUAGUGAAAACUACCAAUUACUUCUCUAGACAAUUUGAGGGAUCCAAUAUUGACCCAGACAUAAAAUAAUCAAAGUAUUCGAACCCUAGCAUGUAUACUAAGUAGGCCUCUAAAGCACACACAGAAAGAAUUCAUCGAUGAACAAUCGGUAAACAAAACCUCAAUCUUAUUAAUUGCAAAAACAAAUUGAAAAUCAAAGCAUGUUAUGAAUCAUGUCUAGGGGCUUCAAGAGCCCCCUAGCUACUAUGAGUUUAGUUACACAUAAUGAAAAUUGAAAACACAAAAGAGUUCAUGGAAGAGGAAGACAACAAUAACCGAGCUUGGAGAAUCCCUAAGAAGAGAUCGAUCUUGUUCCGUCUAAUUCUCCCGUUCUAUUUCUUCCUGACUUUUUCUUCUGCCCUCCUUGUCUUGUGUAUUAGAUGAUAUUAGGGUUAGAGAACCCUCAAUUUCCGUCCAUGGGCUUGCUGAUUUGGAUUGGGCCUUGAAAUUGAAGUUUCGGUCCAAAUCAGAAAUUCGGACAAACUGACAUUCAGCCACUAAAAUGAUCAUAAACUUCUUCUCCAAAAUAGGUAUUGACGAUCCGUAAAAAGUUCUAGAAAAUAGACUCUUGUAGCUUUCUAUUGAUAUAUAACUGAUCGUCUAAAUCGUUGUAAGUUGAUCACAAUCCUUUGUCGAAGUUAGAUGAUAAUUUCUAGCAGAUCUCAUAAUUCUUUCCUUCCACGACAUGGAUUCCUAUUCCUUCAAGAUUUCUCCUCUUUUGUUUCAUAUUCCAUUCUUUGCUCCGAAACACCUAAUAAACAUAAAAAUAACUAAAUUAAAUGGAAAAUACGAUAAACUAACAAAGUAAAGAGGAGAAUUAACCAUUAUAUCGUCGCAUAUUUAUGCUCAUAUCAAGCUGUUCUCUUAGCCAAAAGAUUAUGCACACACCGAUAUAUGCACUUAGAUAAGAGUUGGUAUGCUUCUAUACAAUCUAACAUGAUUCCAUGCAUGUGUGACAGUGAGUUAUUUGUUAGAACACUAGUGAUAGCUAAGUGCUCAUUUACAAACUACAAGUUGAUUUCAUACUGCACAGGAUCACACAAUGUCCAAUCUAGAACUCUAGAUUACUAUGAAUGGGUAAAGUUAGCAUGAUCGAACAUAAUUUACCUUUGUGGGAGAACGUCAUCUAUCGGUAUCAAAGAGCAACAAAAGCUAGAAUUUCUUAAAAACACAAAAGAAUCAUGAGAAUAUUGAAGCAAAGUGAGAUCCCUGAAAUCUUAAAACUCGACUUGCUAGAACCGUCUGAUGAAUUAGACUCUCCUAAGACACUAUAUUGACAAUAUUAGGAUUAGAGCGUGCCUAGUUGGGGCUUUGUCAAACUUGAAGGUGUUCAUUUUAACCCAAAACACAACAUUGAAAGCAAAUCAAUCGAUUUUAUAGAAGGUAUACUCGCGUUAGAACAUCAAUUACAUACUCUUCCGUUACUAUUUUCAAAUAGCCAGAAAGUUGUGAAAACUCACGAUAAUACAUAAAACAUAACCACACAUUAAUCGUAUCACGCUUAUAGAAGGCUGAAAAUGAAAUAACUAAAAACUAAAACACUAACUAAAGAGUUGGGCAAGGCAAGCCUGACAUAGCAGCCUAAUGAGGUCGCCCUAGGAAAAUUUCCACGCCAUACCACCAAUGUUGGUUUGGACCAGCCCACCAACCUCAUCCUUGUCCUAUACGAUGUGGUCCGGCGAAGCUCCGGUUACCCAAUACCUGCAACAUCAUGACUAGCCUCAUCACGUCGCCACGACUCCUCAACGUCUGCCCAAUACUCCUCUAGCUACACCACCACAUUCUUGUGCCGCCAGAGACCCAUCUCGGAUCCUGAACUUCAAUUGAUAUACCAGUAUACCACAUUACCACCGCCUCAUUUCUCAAGCUCAUGUAAGUUGUGUAAGCACCUAAUCAGUACCCUUUCUAUAUAUAGUCUUGAUGUUAUAUCAUCUCAUACAUUUUCCCUUUCACCAAGUCUUUUAACCUCAUUACUGUAAUGGAAAGUAAGAAUUGGUUGCUUUUGUGUGACCCAAGUCACCUAACAAAAAGGAUUAAAAUAUCUGUUGUAUCUUCGAUAUUUUCUCGAAAUUUCUGUUUUUUACAAGCACCAUUAUUAAUUUUCAUAUAUUUUCGAUAUUAUAUAUUUAGUCUAUUUUUGAUCGAAUAUAUAAUUUUUAUAUAUAUUUUGAUAAAAUUUUCAUCGAUAUUCGAUAUUUUCUCGAUAUAUCCAUCGAGAUUUUAUUUUUCUGAAUCAACGAUAUUUUCGUAAUCGUCGAUAUUUUAGUCCUUAUUUAACAUUAUAUGAGGCCUCUAGCUAGUCACAAAAUUAUUGCUGACUUUCAUUUCAUCAAUUAUUUCACCAUUUGGCAUAUGAAGUUGGUAUAUUACACCAAAGGAAGAGCAAACUCUAAAUCUCAUUAUGUUCUGUUUUAGGUGCUAUAUAAAUGUUUUUUAUUUUUGUUUUUUUAUGGGUUGAUUUAGAAGUUAAAUGUCUUAACAAGUUUUCAGAAGAAUCUACGUACCUAGACGACGCCGUUUCGUCUCUCUGUCCCUCAUCCAAUCCAUUCCUCAUUACCCAUUUUACACUUGCCCUGUUACUGAUUCAGUAAAGGUUGGUGCUUUAGCUCUACGGAUAGAGAUACAGCACCAAAGUAAGAGAGUAAUGAACGACCUCUCAAACGCGGUUCUGAGAGGCCACCAUACUAGCACUCCCUUCAAGCCCAUACCCUCCCUUGUCCUCUACAUUCUCAUACCCAUCUUCCUUUUAGGCCUCUCUGUCUCCAUCUUCAUUCUCAUUGCCGUCCACAACGCCCUCUUCUUCGUCUUCUUCCUUUUGCUCUCUGCUCUUGUCCUCGCUUUCGUUCUCUGGAACACUCGUCAUUGGGCCACCCAAUCUGCCGUCUUGUUCUUUCUCAACUCUCUUCCUGACUCUGACCUUCGUGUGGCUCAGCAUGGAGACCUGGUCAAGAUCACUGGGGUACUGAUUUUCUUCAUGUUUUGGCUCGUUUUCUGUGAUGGGUUUGAUUCACUUUUUAAUGGGUUGCUCUCUUUACUUUGUUUGCUCAAGUUUUUUUCUUGAGGGGUUUAGUGUUGCAGUGGUUUGUUUGUGUGAGAAUGAAUGUAUGAGUACAAGGUUGGGAAUGUGUUAUUUGAAUGUUAUGUAUUUUAGGACUUUAGGUGCUGAGAAAUUGGAGAAGACAAAAUGAAAAAUUGGGGAGUGUAAGUGUAAUUGUUGUUUUGGCUUUGUCUUAUCGUCUGCUAAGAAUUUAUGUAUCGGUUGCCAAUAAAAGAAUUGUCAUUUAUCCACAGUUGAGCAAAAUAUUGAUAAGUUAUGGAUUUGAUUUGUGAUCAGGGGUAGUGUUCUUCAACUUCCAUGCUAUCCAUUUAGUUUGUUUGGGUUAAACGCACAUCAAUGUAUAUGGUAUUCAAGAAAGUCGCCCUGUGUUGGGCUUAUUGCAUAGUAAACAACAAGGAUAUGACAAGCACAACUGAUUUAAUUGACAAUAGUAUGUGGAAAACAUUAAAAAUUGUGUGACUCAUUAAACUGAAUUCAGGGGUUUGCAACCGUAUGAACGCAGAACUCAGGUGGUUCAACCUUUUGUAGGUUGAUGGUGGAUACCAGUCUCUAUUUUUUAGAUUCUUCUAUGCAUAUUGCACAAGGAGAUGCUAUUUGUAUUCCUAAAAUAAGCCUCUUGCAGCUCUGCAUCUACUGUGUGGAAACUAAUUUUAGCAGCAAAUUAUAUUUUGAUUAUGUCUGCCAUCUGAGGAAUGACAGUCUCUAGCUAAUUGUAGAUAUCUGCUUCAGGGUUAAUCUAUUCUGUCCAUAUUUUUGCUCAUUAAUUGGUAUAUCACUCUAUAGUUUUCUGCAGUUUGUUGGGGUGGAUCAUAAUUUUUUCAUUCUGAUGAUUUCAGCUUGCCUCAUGCGGGAGUCUCUCCCUGGAAUCUUCAUAUGAAAAGGCUACUAGAUGUGUGUAUGCCUCUACUCUUUUAUAUGAAUACAAGGGAUUAACUCUACACCCUAGAAAUGCCAAGAGAUCAUGCUUCCAGUGGCAUUUAGAAUAUUGUGAGGUAUGUUCGUAUGCAGCUAUAUAGAUAAGCAAACGAACUGUUUCUCAUCCUUUUCAUUAGAUAAAAUAGGUUUUGGUUACCUCUUAAGAGGGCUAAUGAUGUGCAUGUUACCCAGUCUGUUCAUAGUUGAGUCAAUUAGUACUCAAUUUAUGUAUUUCACUCACUUUACCAGGAUUGGAAUGCUUAUUUGAUGCUCAAACAUGACUCGUGACACCCUAGUUAUCUCCCAUUUCAUGUGAUCAUGUGAACCUCAAGUUACCUAGUGUCAUAACAGUUGCAACUUGAUCCAAGUAGCUUCUUUCAUGCCAUGAAGCAUUACAAGGAACCCCUUGGGUUGCUUUGCCUGUAUUUAGUAGAAAUAACAACAUAAUUAGCAUCAGUAAUAUACAUUUUGAAGAAUUUCCAUUCUUUUCUAUCGAUAUUAUGCUGUAAUCUAUAGAAAUUCCUUCCUCUAAUUGAAUCUAAAAUUGAGUCAUGACUCAUAAGUGCUAGUGCAAUCGUUCCAUUUUGUGGAAGCAGCCAAUCCAACUUCUGUUUUCUUCUUGACAUACAAUUAAAAAGGUGACCAUCACUAUGUGUGAGAAUCUGGAUUGCAUGCCUAUACUUGUUGCUUAAUGAUGAUAAAUUGAAAGUGGCGGUCUCUUUAGAAUUAUAAUUUCUCUUUUCUUUUGCUUCGGCUUUUCACCUGACAGAGAUUCUCAACAGACUUUUACUUGACUGAUCGGAAGUCUGGUCUUAGAGCUAUUGUCAAAGCUGGUUCUGGUUGUAAUCUUAUCCCACUGGUGUUUGAGAGCAAACUUGUCAACACAAGAAAAAGCAGAAUCCUCUCUCCUCACUUGACUAAAUGGUUACGUGAGAGAAAUCUCUCAGCUGAAUCCCGUCUGCUACGUCUGGAGGAAGGGUAACCAGAUUUUACAUUAAAAUCUUCGAUCAAAUAACCCUGUUUCUUUCAUAUAUGUAUCCUUAUGUUGUAAAUUUUUGGCAGGUAUGUACAAGAAGGAAGCACGGUGACUGUAUUUGGCAUGCUGCACAAGAAUAAUGAGAUGACCACGAUUGUUCAACCACCGGAAGUAAUCUCCAGUGGUUGUCAAUGGCGAAAACUACUUCUCCCUGUUGACAUUGAUGGACUCAUCCUUAUCUCUCAAAUGGCUGGGCAAUCUGUCAACCAAAAUUCUAUACAACACCCAGAAAGAUAGUAGGUAGGUAGCAAAUUAUCUCUAAAGGAUGACAGAAAUUUUCAGCUCAGGAGUUUAACUCUCUUACUUGAUUUUAUGUCUCACUAAUCACGAUGUCAACCUUUAGCUCUAAUCUGAAAAGUUCUGGUUCUGACCACCUUACUUCUGUAGAACUUUCUUUCUGAUGUGUGAAUAUCUUUCAUUUAGUCAUUUAGUGCACGAAAUUGUUUGUGUGAAUAGCUUUCAUUUAGUCAUUUACUUAGAGCAAGAAAUUGAAUGGUAUUAGUUGUAUUGAUGCAUUCUAUUAGCUAAACCAGAAAAGCAAAUGAAAGGUUCUUGGUGGAUUAUAGCCCAUUAGCAUGAGAAAUUUUUCAACGCUACGGGAGGACCAUGUGACAGUAUGACGUGGUCUCACAUUCCAAUCAAAUAUUGACACAUGGAUUUUAUUAAGGAAAAAUUACAUCAGCUAUUUUGUCAAAGACAAUUUUGGGUUUGUUGUUGCUUUUUAAACCCUAAACUAUAAACUCUAAACUCUAAACCCUAGACCCUAAACCCCUAACCCCUAGACCCUAAACCUAAACCCUAAACCCUAACUCCAAACUCUAAACCCUAAACCCUAGAAAACCAUGAAGGUCAUUUGACUCAUUUCACAAAAAAUAGAAAACCUUAGUUUAUAUUUUAGUUGUAAUAAAUCCACGUGUCAAUAUUUGAUUGGAAUGUAAGACCACGUCAUACUGCCACACGUGGUCCUCCUGUAGCAUCUAAAAAUUUUCCCAUUAGCAUAAACUAAACAUUAAGUUUUGGUCUCUCUCUCUCUCUGGUGAAAGAUUUUCUUUGGGGUCAUUUACUAAUGUGAUAAGGAUAUUGGAUAAGGAUAUUCCCACAAUCUCACAUCAUGUAAUUGAUUUUAUCAUUAGAAAACUGUCAAUCACUUGCCUACAUAUUACUGAUUAGUGAUAAGAAUGUGUGUUGCAGAAAUCAUAUUCUAUUUCACUUUCACUCUUUAUAUGAUAUUAAUGGAAUAGUGUAGAAGAUGUGACUCCCCCAUUUACCUCCUACCUACUAGACUUGAACAACCAAACCAGCCUCCACAAAUGUUUAAUCCAAAAAAUGUCAUUCCAGGUUGACCCUGUUUGUUUUGGAUUUGACUUCUUAGUCAACUUAUUUAUGUGUAGCUAAGUUCCAGCUAAUUGGGAGGAAAUUGUUUGAUUAUUAUUUAAUAGAGUUGGGUGGAAAAGGAUUGUAAUGACUAAUGUGGUAUCUGCUAAACAGUAAAAUAGACAAGUGCAAGGCUGGUCUCUAUGUGUGUACAUACCAAUGGCUUAUGCUUGUGACUAGGUCUUCAACUUUUUUUUUUUGAUAAGAACUAGGUCUUCAACUUUACUACAAAUUUGGUACCUCAAAGUCCCAAACUUGGUUCAAGCUUUACAAUGUAAUCUGAUUUCUACUUCAACAUUCUUAUGGAAAUAGUUUAAUAACAGUUUGAUUUAAUAUUAGUCCAAACUGUAGGUUCAGUAGGUUGUAUAACUAAUGAUACUCUUAUUAUCAAAAUAAAUUGAACAAUAUGAGUGUAUGAGAUUUCUUCUAUUUCAAUUCAUGUCUCGCAUCUACAAACAAGCAUUACAUGGCUUAUCUGAACUUCGUUUGUAAUAAUAAUAGGCCAUAAAUCACCAUGAACGAAAGCAUGAGUUUUAGUUUCUAUUCCUCAGCACAAUACAAAUUACAAAAUGUGUACGGUUUAUUUUUCAAAGUAGGAUCUUAUUGAUACACUAAUACAUCAUAUAGACUUUCACGUACAGAUAAUAGAUCUUGCAUAUGUUGAUUUGUAGGCUUGGUCUUAGUGUGACUAGACUACUACUGCAGAUGUUCCGAAUCGAAUCAUAUGAGCUCAUCAUAAAGAGAAAAUAUGUUAUGAGCUGGGUGCUAGCUAGCUCUUACAAAUCCAAUACCAGAUUUCGUUUCUUUAUUUGUGAUCUGUUGUUCAGGCCAUAAUCUAAUAAGAAUAGGUACAAAUCGUGCAACUUCCAAUAUAUAUAAAUCAGAUUCCAUUUGUGCGUGGUCUUUACUCUUUACUUCUUGACCAUCAUCUCCACAACCACAAAAUUUGGUUUUUCAAAUCAUUAGUUACUGUUACAUACGAGCCCUAUCUGUGUCAUCAAGUGAUCAAACAUAAUAAAAACCUAAUCAUCAUUUUAUAUAAUGCACAAAAAGAUACGUGCUUAUGGUGGUAUAUAUGUGACAAAGUACACUUUCAAUAUAUAUUUGUUAUUUCACAUAUAUGAAUUCCCAAAAUUGUUUAUCUUUACGUUCAUUCGAAUAAGCAACUUAUACUAUCAUUGGCAUCAUCUAUACCAUUACAAUCUUAUUGAUGAGCUAGUUAUAAGCGUUGAUAAGAUUGAAUAUGUUUUGAUGAAUGCUUGUAAUGUUAAUUAGCAAAGUUGGUCCGAGUAUCUUGGUCAUAAAAUGAAAAAGAAAAAAUGAAGAAGCAUCAUAUCCCUUCACAAUUACCUUUGAUUGAAAUCAAGAUAUGAUUCUAAUGCAGCCAAAGACUCGUCACUAUAAUCAUCCUCGUGAUCCCUAAUCGUGGAUUUAGAUCUUAAACAUAGAUUGUUUGGUUAGUUGCAUGCACACUAUAUAAUAUUAUGCAUGUUUUCCACUAUGCAUGUUUUCCACUAAUUGAAUUAUUGGUCCUCUUGAUAGUAACGUACGCAUUUUCAUAUAUGAAAGUUGAGUGGUAUGUGGGUGGCAUGAAGUUGAUGAUUAAGCAUGUUUAGAUAGAUAGAUAUAUAGCAUAUGCACUUUGGUUAGAUCUUUGGGACUGUACUUCUGGGUUUUAAGAACUAUAAAAAUGGGAAAAGAAAACAGUAUAGACGAACUAUUAUUGGACUGGAAAAAUGAAUCUAGCUUGCAAGUUGUAUAAUACAAUUUAUGAUGAGGAACAGAAAUUGGGUCUCGAAUCAAAUCUGGACAAAGGGAAACUGAGAAUAUGAGCUCGAGAUUGUGCUUUUGUUGUUUACAUGUAGUUGGGUUUCACUUUGCUUAUGCCCCAGAAUUUCUUAAAGUGGAUUCUCCUUUAAAACUAGGCAUCGAUCUCCGGCCUAUAUUGUUUGUAUAUAUGAUCAAUUCUAAUAUCGAUAUCCUCACCAACUUGUUAAUUAGCAUUCUUAAUUGGUCAAUGCAAAUUCUAAUGUUCCCAUAUCAAUUUCAUGGUGACUUCGUAGAUCUUUCAAAGAUUGUCACUUGUCUAGAUUGGACCAAGUCUCUGUGUUUAGCAAGCAGAAAAAGAGAUAAUCCUCACUAUUUACUCCCUCAUCGAAUACAAUACAAGAAGCCCUCAUCUUCACAUCACCGUCUCUCACUCACCGGAAACCUAAUUGGACUAGCAUUUGCAGCUUCAUGGUAAAGCAAUAUAUAAUUGAUAAUCAUAAUUCCCUGGUCUUAGCUAAAAGAAACUGUUGCUUGAAUAGCUUCACGAAAAAUGUCCAAUGAGAGAAAAGGGAUAUCUAGCAAUUGAAAGAGGAGUUUUAUUAGUGUGCACUGUGCAGCAACUUAUUUACUUUGGGAAAUAAUAACUAGCUAUGAGGAUAGACAAUGGUGAGAUCGAACAAGAUGUUAAUUCCUAAUGAUAUCUUGACCAAAAUUCAUCAAAAGGGGGACAAAUCUCAGAUUAGAGAAACAAAACACAGUGAUUCAGUGACUCGGAAUAUUUUCCAAAGUGAUAUUGGAGAACCAGCAAAAAUCUAACAUGUAGGACCCAAAUGAACUUGUGAGUUACCUCUGUUCAUCUUUUCUCAGUCAAAAGAAAGUGGCAUUUGCAAAGGGUGAUCGAUCAUGGUGAUCAUGCAUGAUGUAUCAACAUCAACUUAUUAUGCCUGAAGAUGGAACCCCAAAAAGAGAAGAGGAUCGAGUUAAGCAUUCUCAAAGGACCACGGACAAUAUAUAGUUGCUGUUGCUGAACAUAAAAUUAUAUUCCAGCUCCAUUAUUCAAAGAUAUUCAGGUCUUCAAAGAAAAAGAAAAUUUUCAAGUCAAGAAGACAAGAACCUCUAGAGAGCUGUAGCUUCCCCAACCCACCAUGAAAGGCAAUAUUCAAAAUGGAAAUCAUUGUGAUGAUCGAUCAGUUUUGUUGCAGCAUCGAAUCCAAUCACCGUAAUUCGAUCGUGGGAGUUGUUGUUUAGAAUCGAGUGGAAGUGGGUAGGUACUCACAAGCUCAAGGCCACAAAAAAUACAUAGGAUUGUUAACUUGACCAUUUCUUAAGGUUAAUCAAAUCCAUAAUGAUCGAGGUUUCCUUUCAAGCAUUGCUUUGCUGCAAGGAUUAGUAACUUCUUACUUUCAGCGGUUCAUGUCACCAUUUGAAAAGGUGUAUCUGAUCAUGCGCGCGCAUGCUCAGAGGUCAAUAACAAUUCUAGAUAUUUUCCAAUGAUUGUUGACUCGACUUUCCUUCUCCAAUGAUUUUACCAAGCAACUGAGCAAGAUGGCAUCUUUGAAAAACACACUUGUUUGUGCAGAAUUAAGUGGAGUAUUGGUAUCAAAUGUACGUGUACUGCAUGAUUAGGCUUGAGAGUUCAGAUUAUAAACUCAAUUAAUCCACCUAAUUUUUUUUAGUUUGACUCAAGCAACAAUUCCUCAAUUAUACCAAUGAAGCUCUUUUUCUUUUUUUUCUUUGUUUUUUUAGAGUAUCAACGACGGUAAAGGUUUUCUGGGUCCAGAGACUAAUUCGCGCCAAGGAAUCAUGUCAGAAUGCUUCUUCCCCAUGACCACCAAGAAUAAAUUGGGAUUUAACUCCUAUUACUGUCGGUAGGAUUCGAAUAUGGAUAUGGGGGUUCCACACCACGACUCUUACCAACUCAACCACUUGUGGUGGUUACCAAUGAAGCUCUUCUUAAAUAGUAUGUCAUAUAUUUUAAUACAAGGAUAGAUAAACAGAUUCUUUUUUUAUAUAUUUCGGGGCAGAUAAUUUUUAGGUCAAAUUUUAAACAUGCAUGGCUUGUAGAAGAUUUUGCUCCACCUUAAAAAAUGACACUCCAAUAAGUUUUAGGAUGAAAAACUGAGGUAUAGUAUUGGUGUAACGACUCAUUUAUCUUCCAAUGUAUGAGGAAGUAGUCGUACUCAAGAUACCAUUGAGGUUAAUUUGCAAGGAACUUCCGUCAAAUUGUUGGAUCUCUCUCCCUUAAUUUACAAGUAAUAAUAUAAUGGGCAAGCAACACGCAUACUAAAACCCUAGCUAUCUACUGCAUGCCCAGAUUCUCGAUCGGGAAAACCUAAGAAAAAAGACUUAAGUUUCAUCAACGUUCCACCAAUGGAAAAUGAUAAAGAAUGGAUUUGCUUAAUCAAGACAAUAAGAAACAAACACCAUGUACAGCUAGGUAAGAGAACCUGUACGGAUUCCCAGUAUGAUCCUUGCUGAUUUAUCAUGACCUAGCUAUCUCCGUUCUUUAAGUUGCUUCCCUUUCCUCUGGUUUUCUAGCUAGAUUUAGAUUUACAAGCAUGUUAUUAUAGUUUACAAAUAUGUGAUCGUAUAACUUAUUGUUGUAUACAUACGGUGGCUAAGAUUCUUGAUUUCUUGCAUACCAGAUUUCUUAAUCUGGCAACUAAAGAAUAUUAAUUUUCAUUAUCUUCGUCAUGGAACACAGUCUGAUAUUCAAACAAAAACCUAGUAUGGCAUAGUAUUCAUCGUCAUCAUACCAACGCACGUAACUUCUUAAUCGGGUCACUUUUUUGUUCAUAUCGUUCAGCUUUCUGUAUUUUAAACUCCUAUUGAUGAGCUGGUCUUUCCAGUUUCCACAAAGACUAAUAACCUUGUGGUACAAUUUCUUCUGUGUUUCACUGUAAUUUCGUCUCUGGUGUUCAGUCUUCUCCUUACAACACAAUGAGUCCAUACCAGAUCGAGCAGCAUCUCAAAAAUAUUCGGACAAUUCACGCAGGUCUUGUUCUAUAUAUGUUUAAUUAUAUGAAGAUCAUAUAUAUAGUAAGCUAGGAUCGAAGGUGGCAUUGUCUUGUAGAUAUAUUUUAUCUAGAAAGGACCAACAUUGGAAAUUUCUUGAAGAAUGCUGGUCUCUUAAGAUGUAACCACUAAGAUGGGUAUGUUUGAUUUGGUCUUAGUCAUCCAUUUACUAAGCUUAUAUGUUAAUUUAUUCAAAGCCAUCACAAGAGUUUGGAAGUCACUGUUCACACUUCAGAUUAGCUUAAUUAUAUUAAAUAACUCCUCAGUGGCAUGUUUAAAAUUUACAAUUGUUAAGGUUUCUUUCUUGUUUUCUUGCUGCUUAAGCCGCAGGUUUUAUGCUAGCUAGAGUUUGAUGAAGAUAAAACCUCCCAAGUCAAGGUUUAUGGGGAGUUUACUACAAAAAGAAUAAACUAUAGAUAUAACAGAUAUGAUAAUAUGAUUAGCCAAUUAACAUGUAUAUGUUAUUAUCAAAAUGAUGAAAUUAACAUUUCCAAGCAACUUGAAAAGUUGACUGUUAAAAGAGGUGCAAUAUCUUAUGCUUAACAAUGGAAGUUGGAGGCUCCUUGGUCCAUUAAUUUCUUCAUUUGCUCAAGAUAUAUAUAUUGUAUAUUUUCUUCAGUGGUUUGCAGUCUACACACAAGUUGAAACAUAAUUUUUUGAUAAAAUCAAUUUCACGCUACACGAUCAGUUUGAAUCGAAUAUUUCGAAUCCUAGGUGCUAUCAUGUUGUAUUUUUAUUUUGUUUCGACCAACGACAGUAAAACAAAAACAAAACAAAACAAGUGGGAAGUGAAAGUGGUCAGAUAAAGAAACUAAUCAAAUGGUCAUCAUACACGGGGGUGCCUCCUCAGUCCUCACGAAGGUGUGUGCCUCCUCAAAAAAAGGGUCGCAUUAUCAGGCUUGGGCGAUUGUUUACCAAAAACUAUGGGGGCUAUUGCCUGCUAAGUGCAGGAAGGUCAAGGUUUAGAAUUUAGAUAUUUACAUUCUGAAGAAAGUUGGUGUCCCUUGCAAGCCUAGUAAAACUCCGUACACUGUGGAAGUCAAUUGGCAUCCUCUAAUAUUUGGUUGGGUUAAAGUCAACACUGAUGGUGUUUGGCGUAGCUCUUCGAGUCAAAUGGGUUAUGGAGGCAUAUUUUUGGAUUUUAGAGGUGGAGUUCUUGGUGCUUUUUGCUCCAAUUUUAAUAUGGCAAGUUCGGUGGCACCAGAGGUUAUGGCAGUCAUAAAAGUUAUUGAGCUAGCAUGGGUGCGAGACUGAAAACAUGUAUGGUUGGAGGUUGAUUCUUUCUUAGUUAUUACUUUUCUCCGCUCGCCGCAUUUAGUGUCUUGGCAGCUAAGGAUUGAGUGGGAGAAUUGUUUACAUCGGAUAUCACAUAUGCAUUUUCGUUCUUCUCAUAUUUUUCGUGAAGGUAAUCAAGCAGCAGAUGCUCUUGCUAACUGCGGUCUUUCUUCAAAUGGUUUGAUUUGGUGGGAUUUGCCUCCGCAUUUCAUUCUAUCUCAUUGCCAUAGAGACUAUAUGGGACUCCCUAACUUUCGUUUUCGAUAGUUUACUUUAUUGUUGCAUAUUGGUUUUUGUUUAUCUGUCUGUUAGACCUUCAUAUCAUUUUGGUAACUUUUCUUAUUAAGGAGUUAGGCUUAAUGUCCCCUCCUUACUUUUGUAUUCUUUUAUUUUUCCUUUUAAAUAAAACUCAAUAGAGGUUUGGGCAUCUAGCCCGUCCUUUGUUAAAAAUAAUAAUAAUAAAAAAAAAAGAUCAAGGAAGUUGGUGACCUGAUGAAAGAGGAGCCGGCCACCGAAGCCUCCGUAAGAGCAUCUCCAACAGCUUCCCCAUUUUCUUGAUUUUAUCAAUUUUGGGGAAUAUUGAGUUGUUUUGUGGUCCAACAGCUUCCCCAUCUCAUUCCCCAAAAUAGGGAUGGAGAAGAAAGAGAAGCACUAUUUCCCUAAAUUUGCAGCAAAGCCUUUCUUCCCCAAAUAUUAAUUAUUCACGUGCUCCAACGAUAAAAAAAAAAAUCUAGAAUAUUUUAUUGGGUAAUUUAUGUUACAAUGAAAUAUAUGAUUUUUUUUUGUUAUUAUUAACAAUCAUAUAACAUUUUUUAUUGUUUUAAUAAAUGCCGAAAUCUCCAAAAUGGAGAAGUUGUUGGAGUUGGAGCAUAAAUUUUUUUGAGAUUUUGGCUUUUGCUUCCCCAUUUUAGAGAAAUUUUGGGGAAGUUGUUGGAGAUGCUCUAACGACAAAUUAAUGGAAAACACUUGCGUCCGAACGAGUAUGUACGUGUGCGUCUGGACUCUCUCUUAUUUACAUAUAUUUGCCAAUGUAAAUCAUAAUUUUAAUCGUUCAGAAAUUGAAUUAACGAAUGAAGAUCACAUCUGCAAAAAAUCAAUGCAAACAAAAAUCGUUUGUUCAGCCAAAUGAAUCAAACAAAUUGACUGCUGAUCAUACGACUGCUAACUUUCACCAGAAUUGUCUAUUUGUUUAAUGCAAUCGGCUGAACAAACAAUUUUUGUUUGCAUUGAUUUUUUGCAAAGGUGAUCUUCAUUUAGUUAAUUCAACUUCUGAACGGUUAAGAUUAUGAUUUACAUUGACAAGUAUAUGUAAAUAAGAGAAAGUCCGGAUGCACAUGUACAUAUUAAUCCUGAAAGUCCGGAUGCACAUGUACAUAUUAAUCCUGACGUAAGUAUUUUUCCAAAUUAAUUAAGAGACAAGGGUAGAUGAAUAUGUAUUAGAAUUUAAGAAGGAAAAAUACAGUAGUAGCUAUUGCUGAAUCUAGUCAUGGUCGCAAGUCUUUUAACUUUGAAGCAACUGACAUUUUCAUGCUGAGUCCGUAAAUAACAGCGACUUGAAUCUGAUCUCGCAUAUGGUUUAAACAAUUUGCUUGGACAAAGAAAAGAAGCGAUCGACAAGGACUGCAAUUGCACUACGUAAUUUCUCUGCAGAUGCCACCCCUACUCCAAAGUUCUAAACUUGGUGUACAAUCUGCCUGAGACUCAUCUCUCCCAUCUCCAUUUGUCUCUUAGGACAGAUCAAAACACCCGAUUACCCACAAGUGCAUGCAUCCUCCUAUGCUAGGUAUUCUUAACGUGCCCUUGUUGUUUGUGUAUUGGUCUGAACGUGAAGACUGAAACUUGGUCUACUUGAGAAAUUUUGACGUAAAGGACAACGUAACUCUGAUACCCCGACAUGAUGAGCCAAUCAUACUUGUCGAUCUCCUUAAUAUUUAGGCCAAUGUAAUAUCGUUAUUCUCGUAUAUGCAUGAAGAAAAAUCCUUGACAACAUUACUGGAUUCAGUGAUCGAGUUUGUCGACUCCCAUGAAUAGCCAACAAGCUUCGGAAGGGGCCUAAGGAGCAGUCAACGUCAAUGACUGAUGGACAAGGCAUGCAACGGCCACGAGCCGAUAAACCAGAUCGAAGCGAACCAUACCAAUGUUGCCAGAAACGCGGAACGUUUCGGUACGGAAACGCGGUACGGGAACACGGUACGUUAGUCUUUAGGGUAUGCGGUACGCUAGAAUAUAUUAGCUAAUUUUAAUUAAAAUAAAUUAAUAAAAAUUUAGAUUAUGAAAACAUAUAUAAUAAAUAUACAACGAUACCAUAAAUUCCAUUUUAAAUAAUUAUCACCCUAUAUGAUAAAAUUAUCCUGCCCAAUAAAUUCAAUACCAAAACCAAGUGAUCCCAACAAGACUACAGCGUGGGACUUGGAUAGCCCUCACUAGAUCCUUUUUUCUUUUCUUUUUUCGAACAGGCCCUCACUAAAUCCUUUGACCACUUGUUCUGAGAAGAUGACCGGGAACUCUUCAAAAGGAAUCCACAAAGUCCAGGAUUGUUUGCAUAUCUCUCCACUCCGAUUGUGCCAUUCAUUGGGUUUCAAAGAUUUCGAUUUGUCGGCAACGGAUAUUGAAUUCCAUGACCUCCUUGCCAAUAAUUGAGAUCGCUCAAAUUGGCGAUCCGGAUCGCGAACGCUCCGCGAUUGGGAUCGUGCGAUCUGGAACACGGAUCGCCGGUAGGAGUAGCGUUUCCGGUAACUCUGAACCAUACUUCAUUUUCUUCUUCACCUAAUAGACCUAAAGACAGUGCAGUGUACCAGACCCAUGUAUGAAUGCAUGGGCCUCAUGUGCACCUUAAACCCUUCUCACCGAACAACGCCACCCCAAACGCCGGCACGUGUCAGACCAAAUUACGGCGGCCAUAUUGGCCUGUCCAGAUCCCGACGGAACAUAAUCUCUGAUCUCUUGCACCACGCGCCCGCAAAGCCAUUCUGAAGAUGAAGUUUUAGUUUCUUUUCAAAUCGAUAAAUCGAUGAGAAAGUGUAGUUUGAAUAAAGAAAAGCUGUAUUUUAAUUGAGGUUUAUGAGACAGUAAGUUUGUUAAACAACUUUUCAAGGUUAUAAGCGCUCAGGCGGAAGCAACUUAACCGAUAAAAUUGCAGGCGAAAAGGUUUGACGUCUGAGACGUUUAGCUCACGAAUUUGACAUGAUUAGAAGUUCAAAGGUUUUUAAAAGAAUUUGCGUAAGCAGAAGAAUUAGAAAGGUUAAUGUUGCUUUUGCUAUAAUUAAUCAAUCACCGGUGGUUGAAAAAGCUUAUAAAAUUGUGAUGCAUUUAGUGUGACAUAUCUAAUUUUUGUAGAUAAAGAUUUACUUGCUGCGCAUGCAUCUCAGAGGAGGAGACUGUCGUUAUAUUAGUUUAUUGUUUUUUUUUCUGAUAUCCAAAAUGUCUUUCAUCUGCAAUUAUUUUUUAGUUUCUUGAUUGGUGAAGAAUGGUGUAAUGUCACUAAUGUGAGACAUAAUAUAAAUGAUCAAAUUAGUUAUAUAAAUAUAUAGUAGGUUAAGUAAUUUAGAUGUGCAUGUAGUUUAAUUAUAUAGUAGGUUUACCUAAGGAUGCAUUAUUCAACAGUUCCCUUAAUUAUCAUCCUUAGUUUUGUUCUACAUACUUGAGAGAAAAUCUUAAAAUUAUUGGGGGAAUAGUCUUCACUAAAUGUGAAACACUAAUUCGGUUGACCUGCCUUGACGUGUCUCUUACCUUUGCCCAACACUACCCUUUUUCCAUUAUACUUCAAACCAUGAUACUAAAACAGAGACCUAAUUUCAUCUUCUGUUUGGCUCUCUGUAUUAACAAACAAACACACACACACUCGCCCAUUUCCAAAGCUUCAUGAGCGUGCAAACCAGACGCCUGCAUAUCUGGCGGCGCUUCUAAAAAGAAUUCUACUGCCCCGAAUUAGUAAACCAAACAAUAGAAAAAAAAAAAAAAAAAAACUUACUGUCAUACUCUUACACGUUCCUAUUCUUCAGUAUAACGGCUUAACCCCUCACUUGCCUAUAUAUAGUCCCAUCCAUCAGCUCAUUCUGAUUCAAACUGAAAACCACAGCCUUCUCUUUGCUUCUAAUUCCCAAAGAAAUUAAGCCUAGCUCUUGCUCUGGCCUAGCUUUGCUAAUAUUUCUGCUACAACUCUCUCUACCUACCAUGAAAACAGACAUCGAAAGCCUCUGGGUUUUCGCCCUCGCUUCGAAAUGCAGAGCUCUCUCCCAAGAAAGCAUUGCAUGUUCUCUCUUUGUCAUAGCUUUUUCAUGGCUGGCCAUGGCUCUGUUUUACUGGGCUCAUCCCGGCGGUCCAGCCUGGGGUAGAACGGUCAAAAACAUUUUCACUAGUAAAACAGCUAUGAUCCCUGGGCCGAGAGGUCUGCCGUUGAUAGGCAGCAUGAGCCUGAUGACGGGUCUGGCUCACCGGAAAAUCGCCGCCAUGGCUGAGGCUUGCAACGCCAAGCGGCUCAUGGCGUUCAGCCUAGGCCAGACUCGCGUCAUCGUUACGUGUAACCCUGACGUGGCGAGAGAGAUUCUCAACAGCUCCGUCUUCGCCGACCGGCCGGUGAAGGAAUCAGCCUACAGCCUCAUGUUCAACAGGGCCAUCGGGUUCGCCCCGUACGGAGUGUACUGGCGAACCCUGAGGAGAAUCUCGGCCGCGCACCUCUUCUGCCCAAAACAAAUCAAGGCAUCCGAGUCACAACGGUCCGAGAUUGCCUCCCAAAUGGUGGCAAUGUUCGGCUUUCACGCGCAAAAACUGCGCGUGCGCGACGCCCUCAAGAGGGCCUCCCUCAACAACAUGAUGUGCUCUGUUUUUGGACGCAAAUAUGAUCUUGAUUCAGUUAGUGAGGAAGUCGAAGAGCUCAAGUCGCUUGUGGACGAAGGCUACGACUUAUUGGGUAAGUUGAACUGGUCAGACCAUCUUCCUUGGCUCGCGGACUUUGACGCCCAAAAAAUCCGGUUCAGGUGCUCCGAACUUGUCCCCAAAGUGAACCGGUUCGUCACCCGGAUUAUUUCCGAGCACCGGGCCCGAACCGGCGACAAAUCUUCCCCGGACUUCGUUGACGUCUUGCUCUCACUACAAGGAGCCGAUAAACUAUCCGACUCCGAUAUGAUUGCCGUGCUUUGGGUAAGCUUAAUUAAGCUGCUUUGAUAUUAUUACCGAGUUUUUAGAAUCUAAUUCUUGUAAUUAACCAAACGCCGUCGUUUUGAUAGGAAAUGAUAUUUAGAGGGACGGACACAGUGGCGGUUCUGAUCGAGUGGAUUUUGGCGAGGUUGGUGCUUCAUCCAGAAGUUCAAUCAGCGGUGCAUGCUGAACUAGACAAAGUUGUUGGGCGCUCCCGAACCGUUGAUGAGUCUGACGUCAAUGAGAUGGCUUAUCUGACGGCUGUGGUGAAAGAGGUGCUGAGGUUGCACCCACCGGGUCCACUCUUAUCAUGGGCUCGCCUCGCCAUCACCGACACGAUGAUUGAUGGGCGACACGUGCCCCAGGGGACAAUAGCGAUGGUCGACAUGUGGUCUAUUUCGAGAGACCCAGAUGUAUGGGCAGACCCAUUAGAAUUUAAACCUGAGAGAUUUGUGGCGCAAAGAGGUGAAAUGGAGUUUUCUGUUUUUGGGUCGGACUUGAGGCUCGCGCCGUUCGGGUCAGGGAGGCGAACAUGCCCCGGAAAAACGUUGGGGUUGACAACUGUCACGUACUGGGUGGCGUCACUUUUGCACGAGUACGAAUGGCUGCCGUCGGAUCAGAACUCCGUGGACUUGUCUGAAGUACUGAGGCUGUCUUGCGAGAUGGCUAAGCCUCUCACUGUUAAUGUGCGCCCAAGGCGUAUAUGCACAAGUCAUUGAAGUUUAACAAAAGUAGAACAGUAAUAAAAUGAAAAAAAGAAGGUAAACGGUAUAAUGGGUUUGUUUUAGGGGGUUAACGAGGGUGUGUUUCACAAAAGCAUAUACCUUGGUCUGUCGGGUCAUGUUGUAUGAUAUUCUUGGUCUAUCACUGUCUUGGAUGCCAAGAGAUCAAAGUGUUUUAUUUUUAAUUAUUGUAAAUAAUGGUGAUAAUUAGUACAAGUUCUAUUUGAUAUGUCCUAAAUACACUCACUAAUAGUCUAUGGAUCUCCAUAGCUCCAUGUGUAGUUUGAAUGAAGAAGAUGUUAUGGCACAAAAUUCUCUUCAUUUUGGACUGUGUAAACCCAAAAAGGCGCCCAAAAGGUUCCAAACAAAGCUAGCAAUAGCAAUACAUAACAUUAAAGCAAGUUAAAGAACGAGAUCAACAAUCUGUUGUCUAUGUAACAACUAAACUAAUGAGUAAAAUCGGUUGCAUGUUGUUAUAAACUUAAACCCUAAACCCGUUUGCAAGUGACAACUAAAGUAAUGAGUAAAAUUAACCAGGCUCCCUUGAAAAGGAUUAAGACAAGUAUUGAUCAGUCAAUGCAUGGACAGUUAAUAAACAGACGUAUGAUGAACUUUGUGAAUAUAUGUCGUUCUUAAAUCUUGAUCGAGAACAAUCUAAAAACAUAUAAUAUCGAUCAAGGCCUAAUACUCAUGAACAAGUCCAUUUAAUCAUUAUGAAUAAUGAUAAUGACUACCCUUAAUCUUGUUUUGUGUAUGUGUUUCAAGUAAUGAUAUAUAAAGGUUCUGUACUUGUAUUGCAUGCCUUCUUGGGCACCUAUAUAUUAAGCACUGUAUGUCCUUGAUGUGGGUUGAGGUUUAUCUACCAGGACCACAACCCUUAAGAUCAUGCUCAAAUAAUUGAUGUGCAAUAUAACAAUUCUAUGUAAUCAGAACUAAUAUAUUGUGACAUUUCAGAGUUUUAGAAAUUAGAUUUAACCAGAUCGUUAUUCCAGACUUGUUAGCUAGCUAGCUCCUCUCAUAUCCACCAUAUGCAAACAUCAAGCUUUUGCUUGGUAUGAACGAACACACUAGCUCCCUCAUCCAUGCACACUGAAAAUCUCUUGUAUUUCAUAAUGACUUGAUGAAUUUGAUUCUGAACUAAGCACCUCCAAGUUGAUGAUCCAUGCUAGCUACUAUUAUCUGGCAAAUUAACCAGAUUUUGGAAUUAUGUUUAUGAAUCAUGAUGGGGACUAGAUCACCUGGAUCACACAACACUCCAAACCCUAUGAGUCAUCUUGUUUCCAACUUUUAGGGAAACAAAAUCAAUAUUGAAAUCCCUUUUUUCCAUUUUGUCUUUCUAGAUCGUUUUGUUACAGCUCGUAAAUAUGUUAGCUAGGUUGUAUUGACUAAGAAAGAAUACGUGAAUUUCAAGUAAACAAUAAGCCAUAUAAUUUGUCUGAGUUCUCUUUAAAUUAAACUUGAUGUUAAUUUUCUCCCUCGCUUUCGGCAUUUCUUUGGUUCAUAUAUAUGGAUGAUGAUUUAUGUUUCAUGUGAAUUAUUCAAUAAAUAAAAGUUAGAAUUAUUUUUGUAAAGUAAGCAUUAGGACUCUAGCUAGCUUCACUCAUGAAUAAAUUAACAUAUGAAUUAUUGGAUUUUGGCAUAGUCAAUAGAAGUUAGUAGUGAAUUGAAUAAUUCAACCAUAUGCUAUUCGUUCAAACCCUCACAGUUUCAGGGAAGCAAAUUUGCUCCCCACCCUUCUCCCCACCCCUUUGGAUGAAUGACAAGUGUUACUUUCACUAUUUUUAUUAAAAUAAUUAAAUUUAAAAGACACUUGUUAUUCAUCCAAAGGGGUGGGGAGGAGGGUGGGGAGCAAAUGGUGGGGAGCAAAUUUGCUUCCCAGUUUCAGUUGCUUAAUUCGUUACUCAUCACUAUAGAUCCAAUUAUCGAUUCCAUGAAUAUUGUUCAUGCUAGCUUGACCAAUAUACUAUUUUUUUUUUAAAAAAAACUUUUAUUAAAUAACUCACACACCUUAAUGAGAUUUGAACCUAUGACCUCAAAGUUGUUAGUUAACAUCUUAACCAACCAGACCACGGCUUACUGACAAAUAUAAUUUGAGCAAUAUACUAAUUAAGCAUCCAAUUUGAGCAAUAUAGUUUUAAUAACUUACGAAGGCUAGGGGAUUAUUGACCUCGAGAUUACUAUCCUAAUUAAUGUUCCUUGAAAUCAAUAUGGUCUCUUAGAAACAGCCUUGAUAGAAAUUCUAGGCCUUCGUAUGAAACAGACAUGAGACAUGAACAAUGUUCACGUCAACUAUGUGUCAAAUUCAACCUCAUUAAUCUAAAUUUCUAUAUUUGACUAUGUGUGGCUAAACAAUUAGAAUUAAUUAUUCGGCUUAAGAUAUCAUUAGCUGGUGGAAAGCUGUAGGUGUCACUAAUGAAUUGACUGCUAAUCAAUAUCAUUUUACAAAACGAACUGGUCUCUUAUUUCACUAAUACUAUAUAAAAAAAAAAACAGUUGUUUUCUGCGUCAAAUCAUUCCACCUACUGUUGCCACAGUCAUUUUUUUUUAAUAAAGAAAAACUUUAAUUAAAUAGAGGUGUCUCGAUGACAUCUAGAGUUUACAUAAUUAAACGCAAGAACGGAUGAGGCUUCUGGGGGAACACACUCCACCUAAAGUCUACUAAUCUCAACUCUAUAUUCUAGAUUUGCCGUGACAUUGGCUACAAAAUUAGCCUAUCUAAAAACAUGUUUGUACCUAAUGGACUCAAAGUUGCCACAGUUAGUUGCUAGUUGCUUGUGCAUGUUGUGUAACAACAAGCAAUUAAAAGAAAGAAGGAACAUUUGACGAUUAUCAAGAUAUCUUGAUCAACAAAUUAAAAAGUUCUAACGUAGAUUAACAUGCACACAAAUGCAUAGAUAUGGUAAACUUCAUUUUUUUUCUUCUUUAUUCUUAAUUUCAAAGACAAAAAAGUGAUGAAUUAGAAUAGGCGAAGAGACUUGGGAUUUCUUUCUAACUUAAUGUGCAAGAUAAUUAACAAGAAAAUUAUAGAUUAAUUAGUAUAUGUUUCAUAAACUACGGCCUGUACAUAGGGUUUCCGUUUUGAUAAUGAUCGAUUAGCUCUAUACAAUGGCAGCUGAUCCUCUGUCUCCAUUUCUCUAUCUCCUUCACUGUUUCCCUACCAAAUUUUGACAUGUGGCAUUUUGUUGCUUACUCAGCUUCACAUUCUUUAACCAGCAUGUUAACCUCGUUAAACACUAAAGAGGGUAAAACUAAAUUAAAGCAAAAAAGCUAAACUGGUUAAUUUUCUCUCUUCUUCUAACUAGAGGAAUGUGAAGGUCGAUCAGCCAUACAAUUAUAGAGCAUGCCCAGAUUUGUACAAGGUCAUUUGCCCUUACGAGUUGGGUCACAAAGCCUUAGCUCAAGAUCCAAAUUUUCCAUGAAGUUAGAUGCAGCCAAUCCCAGCCAGAAGUCCAUUUUGCUUUGCAGAUUGGAGAACGAAUGGAAAUGGUGCUGAGCUCAUAGCAGAAGCAAUUUUAGGCCUUUACAAGUGCUUGCCUCUUCCCCACAAGACCCAACUAAUUCUCUUUUUCCUCUAAUCAACCGCUGAAAAAUUGGUUUCAACUUAGUCCCCAACUUGAUCACCUCCCAGAAGGCAUAUAAUAGAAUGAUUUUUUCUGAUAAUGCUCAUUCUAUUAAACGAUAUUCACUUGUUGCUACUGAUGCUGCGAAGCCAUAGUCUAAGCCAAUUCGGACAUGUUCUUGUGAAGCUCUGAAUCUAAGGUGAGAUGAAGAAGAGUUUUAGACGAUGAAGAAGAAAAAGAACACAGUUAGCACUCAGAUUAUUAGUAAAUAUAGAUUUAUUUAUUUUAAUUAGAGAAGUUGGGGAAAGGGUUGAACUCUACAUGAGUUAGAGUUGGGUUAAGUGUAUAACGAGGUUAGUAGCUGGUUAGAGUCUGUUAAGAUGAUUUGGCAACUAAGUGCCAAAUGUCAAAAUUUGGUAGGGCAACAGGAAAGGUCAC
rnacentral:lncRNA from 1 species